AAAACGACUCUCGGCAACGGAUAUCUAGGCUCUUGCAUCGAUGAAGAACGUAGCGAAAUGCGAUACUUGGUGUGAAUUGCAGAAUCCCGUGAACCAUCGAGUCUUUGAACGCAAGUUGCGCCCGAGGCCUUUAGGUUGAGGGCACGUCUGCCUGGGCGUCACAU
rnacentral:rRNA from 1 species